ensembl:miRNA
CUAUUCAGGGAUAUUUGAGGAGAGGCUAUCCGUGUUAUGUUCGCUUCAUUCAUCAUGAAUAAUACAUGGUUAACCUCUUUUUGAAUAUCAAACUC